UACGAAGGGGGCUAGCGUUGCUCGGAAUCACUGGGCGUAAAGCGCACGUAGGCGGGUCGCUAAGUCGGGGGUGAAAUCCUGGAGCUCAACUCCAGAACUGCCUUCGAUACUGGCGACCUUCGAGUCCGGGAGAGGUGAGUGGAACUGCGAGUGUAGAGGUGAAAUUCGUAGAUAUUCGCAAGAACACCAGUGGCGAAGGCGGCUCACUGGCCCGGUACUGACGCUGAGGUGCGAAAGCGUGGGGAGCAAACAGG
rnacentral:rRNA from 1 species